CAGCAGCCGCGGGAACACGGAGGAUCCAAGCGUUAUCCGGAAUCAUUGGGUUUAAAGGGUCCGUAGGCGGUUUUAUAAGUCAGUGGUGAAAUCCGGCAGCUCAACUGUCGAACUGCCAUUGAUACUGUAGAACUUGAAUUAUUGUGAAGUAACUAGAAUAUAUAGUGUAGCGGUGAAAUGCUUAGAUAUUACAUGGAAUACCCAUUGCGAAGGCAGGUUACUAACAAUAUAUUGACGCUGAUGGACGAAAGCGUGGGGAGCGAACAGGAUUAGAUACCCCUGUAGUCCCUGUCCUUAUACA
rnacentral:rRNA from 1 species